CUAGCUACAGGCUUAACACAUGCAAGUCGAGGGGCAGCAUGGUCUUAGCUUGCUAAGGCCGAUGGCGACCGGCGCACGGGUGAGUAACACGUAUCCAACCUGCCGUCUACUCUUGGACAGCCUUCUGAAAGGAAGAUUAAUACAAGAUGGCAUCAUGAGUCCGCAUGUUCACAUGAUUAAAGGUAUUCCGGUAGACGAUGGGGAUGCGUUCCAUUAGAUAGUAGGCGGGGUAACGGCCCACCUAGUCUUCGAUGGAUAGGGGUUCUGAGAGGAAGGUCCCCCACAUUGGAACUGAGACACGGUCCAAACUCCUACGGGAGGCAGCAGUGAGGAAUAUUGGUCAAUGGGCGAGAGCCUGAACCAGCCAAGUAGCGUGAAGGAUGACUGCCCUAUGGGUUGUAAACUUCUUUUAUAAAGGAAUAAAGUCGGGUAUGCAUACCCGUUUGCAUGUACUUUAUGAAUAAGGAUCGGCUAACUCCGUGCCAGCAGCCGCGGUAAUACGGAGGAUCCGAGCGUUAUCCGGAUUUAUUGGGUUUAAAGGGAGCGUAGAUGGAUGUUUAAGUCAGUUGUGAAAGUUUGCGGCUCAACCGUAAAAUUGCAGUUGAUACUGGAUAUCUUGAGUGCAGUUGAGGCAGGCGGAAUUCGUGGUGUAGCGGUGAAAUGCUUAGAUAUCACGAAGAACUCCGAUUGCGAAGGCAGCCUGCUAAGCUGCAACUGACAUUGAGGCUCGAAAGUGUGGGUAUCAAACAGGAUUAGAUACCCUGGUAGUCCACACGGUAAACGAUGAAUACUCGCUGUUUGCGAUAUACAGCAAGCGGCCAAGCGAAAGCGUUAAGUAUUCCACCUGGGGAGUACGCCGGCAACGGUGAAACUCAAAGGAAUUGACGGGGGCCCGCACAAGCGGAGGAACAUGUGGUUUAAUUCGAUGAUACGCGAGGAACCUUACCCGGGCUUAAAUUGCAGAUGAAUUACGGUGAAAGCCGUAAGCCGCAAGGCAUCUGUGAAGGUGCUGCAUGGUUGUCGUCAGCUCGUGCCGUGAGGUGUCGGCUUAAGUGCCAUAACGAGCGCAACCCUUGUUGUCAGUUACUAACAGGUUCCGCUGAGGACUCUGACAAGACUGCCAUCGUAAGAUGUGAGGAAGGUGGGGAUGACGUCAAAUCAGCACGGCCCUUACGUCCGGGGCUACACACGUGUUACAAUGGGGGGUACAGAGGGCCGCUACCACGCGAGUGGAUGCCAAUCCCAAAAACCUCUCUCAGUUCGGACUGGAGUCUGCAACCCGACUCCACGAAGCUGGAUUCGCUAGUAAUCGCGCAUCAGCCACGGCGCGGUGAAUACGUUCCCGGGCCUUGUACACACCGCCCGUCAAGCCAUGGGAGCCGGGGGUACCUGAAGUGCGUAACCGCGAGGAGCGCCCUAGGGUAAAACUGGUGACUGGGGCUAAGUCGUAACAAGGUAGCCGUACCGGAAGGUGCGGCUGGAACACCUCCUUU
rnacentral:rRNA from 1 species